GGCCAAGCUGGAGGGCAGCCAGGCGGCAGCAGAAGCCUCUCCUCCUCCUGGUCCCCAUGGUGGGGGCUGGUUGCCACCCUCCCCCUUCCCCUGGGGAUGCUGCUGGUAGUCACUAUGGGGAUAAAGCGAUUAUGUUUCCAGACCAUAGGGAGCCAACUCCACCUGCAGGCCUGAGGGCCCUAGCCCCACUGCCGCCUGGGCAUGUCAGGGAGAGGGAUCACAGCUUUGCUUCCCACUGAGUGUCCUGGCCCCAGACAGCCCAUGCCUAAUGUGGGGCCACCUCCCUUUCCUUCUAACAUGAGCUGCCUCUCCUGACCUCAGAUGGCCUUGAUGCCUGACUGCUGUGUCCUGCUGGAGGAAUGAGGGCUGUAGGAGCCUCAAGAACAAAGGCCAUCAGAGAGGCCGUUUGCUGGCAUGGAGCCCCCCAGGACUCAUCAACCAUGGUUGAGGUUGACUGAAAACAGAGCAAGAGAGGCCCCCGCCUGUCUCAGGUCCUCUCCAUGCCCCCUUCCUGGUGGGAUCCGUGAAAGGAACUGGCAGCAUGUUUCUAUUUCUUGGGAUUUAAGAUCCUUUGUGUGAAAUAUUUUAAAAACCAGGUUAUGGUUUAUCCGUAAAUUCUAGCUGGAUCCCACUGGCUUCCUGGCACCUUGUGGGCCAUUUUUCCUCCCCUGGUAAGCAGGUUGUCAGAUGAGACUGGUGUUUUUUGCAAAUGGAUUACUUAAAGGUGUCUUGAAGGGGUAUGAUACUGCGAUAUGCACCUUUCACUGCCUGGAAUCUUCCUGAGUUUUGUCUUGGUCGAGCUGCCUUCCAUGUACAGCCCCCUCUGAAGAUGUUGGAAAGGAGGAGAAGGAAGAGGAAAGCAGAGGGGAUCGCCCCGCAGAGGCCAGCCUGCAGCCUGGGCUCCAUGCACCUCUGGCUGCUAACGGGAUCCACCUCGGGUCAAGAAGGUGCUGGCUCACACUUUCCUCAAGAUUUUAGAGAUGCAUGUAUCCCAGUGCAUGUCCUGGAAAGCCUUUAAAAUUCAGAGAAAACAAGCAAAGCUCUGGCUAAUUAAAUGUUUUCUGCUUACCGUUGUUAACAUAUUAAUGAAACAGGUUAAAUGUAUUACUCAGUGAUGAGGAAGCUCUUAGCUUCUAUGCACCCCUUUUUGAGAGGAUUUCUCCAAGUGGCAUCAGUGUUUACAGUGCACUGGCUUCCUGUUCAUAGGACUUUUAUGUGGGGGUGGUGGCAAGGCAGAAAGCAUCCCCAGGGUGAGAAGGGGAUGGGGAGGUCCACGUUGCAGUUCAGACCCCCUCGUCACCUGCCUUUGAGACAGCCACGUCCCUGAGCCUUUCCUGUCAAAUGAGGGUAGGUAAGUUUCUAAUGUUCCCGUUUUGACCUCUCAGACUCAGGGACUGGGGCUAGAGCACGGGUCCUCUCGUUGAAGUCACUGUAGCACUUCAGAGGCAUCAGCACUCUUGCUUUAUUUUGCACAUCCUUGGUUGUCAGUUAUUAUGGGUACACAGCAAGCUACCCCAAACUUAGUACAACAACAACCGUUUUGCUGUGCUCACGGAUUCUGUGGGUAAGGAAUUUGGAAGGGGCCCAGGGUGUGGUGUGUCAUUUGGGAAGAUUUGAGUCAGUAGUAGGUUUGCUCACUCCCAUGUCUGUGGCGCACGUGGCCUCUGUGUGGCUGGGCUUCCUCACAGCAUGGCGUCCUGAGCUGCCUUUCAUGGGGGCUUACUCAGGGCUCCCAGCACAAGGGUUCCAGCCAACAGGGUGGAUUUCACAGCGCCUUUUCUGGCCCAGUCUCUG
rnacentral:lncRNA from 10 species